rnacentral:hammerhead_ribozyme from 1 species
AUCCAGCUGACGAGUCCGAAAUAGGACGUAACGCACAUUCUGGAC